rnacentral:rRNA from 1 species
AUGGAAUCUGGGACAAAGUAUAUAGGCAUAUGUGCGAUUUCCUUCACAGUGAUGUCCUUCAACUUCUCAGCCUCUUCAACAUAUUCAAGCAUGUCCAUUGCAUAUACAAUUCCCACGAUAUUAUCUAUGCGCUCCUCAAAUACAGGAACUCUAGAGUACUGGUGGGUUUCCCAUAGGUUUUUGAAAUCAAUCAGUGUUGCGGCUGCAUCAAUUGCAACCACAUCUACCAAAGGUGUCAUCACCUCCCUUACAUGUGUGUCUUUAAUCUCGAGCACAUUCUCAAUCAUAUCCUGCUCGUCUUCUGCAAUUGCACCACUCAACUCCGCUCCCCGGAGCAUUAGCUUCAGUUCAUCUUCAGUCACAUAUGGCUCACUUCUUCCUUUAAGGCCUAGAAGCUUUAGAAUUCCCAUGGAUAUAAUUGUAACAAUACGCCCAACGGGGUACAGGAUGAUUGAAAGCCAAGCGAUUGGUCUGACCACAAACCUGGCAACUUCUGUGGCAUUGUGGACUGCAACAUUCUUAGGUGUGAUUUCUGUAAGAAGUAGAACGGCGACAGUCAUGACGCCUGUUGCUGCACUGACACCUGCUUCACCGAACAUUGCUGUGGCCGCCUCAGUGACAAUUGCCGUUGCGCCAAUGUUAACCACAGUUGUGCCGAUGAGUAUGGUUGUGAGGAAGCGAGUGACAUCAUUUCGGAGCAUUUUGAAGACGCCGUUCUCGGGUUCCUUAUCGGCCAGCUCACGGACCUUCCAGGGCCAGAGCGUGGUGAUGGAGGUCUCGGCCAUGGAGAAGAAGGCGGAGAGGCCGAGUAAUAGGGCGAGAAUAAGGCCCUGCUCCCUGAGCAGCUGCAGAACCUGCAGCACCGUGGGCCAGCUCCCUCGCAGUCGCAGCGCCACCCAGCCGUGGAGGGGAAUGGGGUGGAAGGGGGCGACAUGGCGCCGGCCGGCGGCGGAAUUGUGA